rnacentral:rRNA from 1 species
CCUAGGUGUGGCAGCAGUGGGGAAUAUUGGACAAUGGGCGAAAGCCUGAUCCAGCCAUGCCGCGUGUGUGAAGAAGGCCUUCGGGUUGUAAAGCACUUUCAGUGGGGAAGAAAGCCUUGGGGCUAAUACCCUCGAGGAAGGACAUCACCCACAGAAGAAGCACCGGCUAACUCCGUGCCAGCAGCCGCGGUAAUACGGAGGGUGCGAGCGUUAAUCGGAAUUACUGGGCGUAAAGCGCGCGUAGGCGGUCUGAUAAGCCGGUUGUGAAAGCCCCGGGCUCAACCUGGGAACGGCAUCCGGAACUGUCAGGCUAGAGUGCAGGAGAGGAAGGUAGAAUUCCCGGUGUAGCGGUGAAAUGCGUAGAGAGCGGGAGGAAUACCAGUGGCGAAGGCGGCCUUCUGGACUGACACUGACGCUGAGGUGCGAAAGCGUGGGUAGCAAACAGGAUUAGAUACCCUAGUAGUC